GGGUGCAAUCAUACCAGUAUUAAUGCAUCAAAUUUCAUUAGAACUCCGAAAUUAAGUGUGCUUGGGCGAGAGUAGUACUAGGAUAGAUGACCCCUGAGAAAUUCUCGUAUUAUACACA
rnacentral:rRNA from 1 species